GUCCCAGAGUACAAAGGCUAAAGAACCUGGAAUUUGAUGUCCUAGGGCAGGAGAAGAAAAGGGGUACUGCUCUGGAAAAGAGAGAGAAAGAGAGAAAAAAAAGGAAGCAAGAAAAAGAAAAAAAGAAAAGCAAGCAAGCUGAAUGUCUUCCUUCUUCCACCUCCUUUGUUCCUGCUGUACUGCCACUGCCCAAUAUAUAAUAUUUCAGGAAACAUUGCUUUAUGAAGGGCUCCAUAACAGUUAAUGAAGCACCAAUAUAACCACACCAUCGCUGGAAUUAUAAAAAUACCAAGAAAAUUUCUGUUGAUAAUGGAUUAAUGGAAUCAUAGACUUUUAGAGUUGAACAUUUGAGUUUAUCCAGUGCCUGGUUCCAGAUGAGGUGAACAGAGGCUCAGUGAGUUCCAAUUGCCUGGUUAAAGAUGAUAAUGGCAAAACUAGGGUUGGAAUCCCAGUUCUGCUACUUCUACUGGCUCUGCUAGUCAACUGUUUUUUAUACCCUUUGUUUCUUUCGUCUUUGGGUAUGAAAGAAAUGUGUUGUUAAAAUAAUGAGAGUCUUCUCUUCCUCUGGCAGUUCUGUUCAUUAGCAAAUCUUACCAGACAAUUCAACUCCCUUCUUUCCUGCCACUUCCACAGUACGGAACAAAGAACCUAAGUAGUCCCCUUUUAAGUCACCAUUGCAAUUAGAGGUCCUUAUGUUACAUAGAUCUAGACUAUAAAAUGCAAAUAAUGUCUGCCAUGGACUCAAGAAAAGACUUUUGCCUUUUUGGAUAAAAGAUAUGUAGAACUACCAUUGUCUUUUUCUUUUUUCCUACCUUGAGCACAAAUUUGCAAUGCAAAGCUGAAUCAACCAUCUUGGGAAGUGAUAAACAUGAAGAAAUAUCCAAGAAAAUUAUAGAAAUGCCCUAACAAGUUUGAGCCACAGAACCAUCACCAACAACUGCCUAUUUCCAGAUUUCUAGUGAUACAAGAAAAAAAACCUCCCUUUGUUUAGACACUUUAUUUGUAUUUUCUAUUCCCUGUAGCAAAAACAUUCCUUACUAACAUUUCUAUUUCUCAUUUUGUGCAUAAAUGCAUAUUCCAUAAAGGAGAGCCAAGAUACCCACCUUGGAGCCCAAGCUGAGGGGUAUUUUCGAUGUGUAUCUUGUGGAACCAGUCCUGCCAAUCUCAUCCAGUGACUAAAAAUGCCUAACCUCCUGGGAAUGGAGGUCAAGCAAGUUUCAGCCUCAUUUUACACAACACCUAUUCAAGAUGGAGGUGCUCUGGUUCAAAUCACUCUGACAAGCAGUCACUACCCCUGCCCCAAAGCCAAGCAUUGUAGGGA
rnacentral:lncRNA from 1 species